rnacentral:rRNA from 1 species
UGGGGAAUCUUGGACAAUGGGGGCAACCCUGAUCCAGCCAUGCCGCGUGAGUGAUGAAGGCCUUAGGGUCGUAAAGCUCUUUCGCCUGUGAAGAUAAUGACGGUAGCAGGUAAAGAAACCCCGGCUAACUCCGUGCCAGCAGCCGCGGUAAUACGGAGGGGGUUAGCGUUGUUCGGAAUUACUGGGCGUAAAGCGCACGUAGGCGGACCAGAAAGUUGGGGGUGAAAUCCCGGGGGCUCAACCCCGGAACUGCCUCCAAAACUAUUGGUCUAGAGUUCGAGAGAGGUGAGUGGAAUUCCAAGUGUAGAGGUGAAAUUCGUAGAUAUUUGGAGGAACACCAGUGGCGAAGGCGGCUCACUGGCUCGAUACUGACGCUGAGGUGCGAAAGUGUGGGGAGCAAACAGGAUUAGAUACCCUGGUAGUCCACACCGUAAAACGAUGAAUGCCAGUUGUCGGGUAGUAUACUAC